rnacentral:rRNA from 1 species
AUGAAGACUCCCAUUGAGGUUCUCCUUAAUGAACAACCUGAUUAUACCUUUCUCAAGGUAUUUGGGUGUGCUUGCUGGCCGCAUCUUCGUCCAUAUAACAAGCGCAAGCUUGAGUUUCGUUCUAAGAAGUGUGUUUUUCUUGGCUAUAGCUCUCUUCAUAAAGGUUACAAAUGUCUUCAUGUUCCCACUAAUCGUGUCUAUAUAUCUCGGGACGUCGUGUUUGAUGAGCAUGUUUUUCCCUUUGCCAACCUUCCUGUGUCCACUGUCGAACCACCAUCCCUGCAUUCAUCCUCUGUUGCUUCUGACCAAUUUGAUGAUGUUGCAUACUCUCCUUUGCUGUUACCUAACCAUGGUGCAGGAACCGGACGUGGAGCUCGUUUGGAGCUGUUGGAGGAUUCACCAUCAUCAUCGUCGUCUUCUGGUGGGCACGUCGAUCGCCCUAUGUUGCAUGGCAUCAAUUCGCGUGCCCAUGCAUGGUCACCCGACGAGCCCGUCGCGCCGAGCAUCUCCACUGCUCGGUCCGUUUCGCCAGCGGCCGCCGAGUCGCCCGCGGCUCGGCCCGUCACGCCGUCUUCGCCUGCGGCUCGGCCCGUCACGCCGUCUUCGCCCGCGGCUCGGGUCCUCACGUCGCCUUCAUCAGCGGAUCAGCCCGCGACACCGGCCGCGCCACGGCCCAUUAUGCCGAGCUCGCCAUCGGCCCGGUCUGUGAUGCCGGAGUCGCCAGCUGCUUCGUCUGCUCUGCCGGUUUCGCCGGUGGGUCGGCCUUCUUCGCCAACCGAGUCCGAGGCUACCGUGACUGGCUCCUCGUCACCGGCUGACUCGUCAACGUCGCCGUCCUCCAACCCGUUGCAGGCUGCUCCGUCGACCUCGGUGGUUCCUGUGUCCCGACCACAUACACGCAGUCGCAGUGGCAUUUUCAAACCUAAGGAACGUAAGGAUGGUACGGUUGCUUGGUUGGCUGCUUGUUUGGCUGCUGCUGUUGCGGAUCCAUCUUCUGAGCCUCGCUCAUAUCAGGCUGCCCUGCGCAUUCCACAUUGGCGAGAGGCUAUGGAGCAGGAGUUUCAUGCUCUUCUUCGUAACAAGACAUGGACUCUCGUUCCUCCCCCACCACGGGUAAAUGUUAUUGACUCAAAAUGGGUAUUCAAAGUGAAGAAGCAUUCGGAUGGAUCUAUUGAGCGUUACAAAGCGCGACUUGUUGCUCGCGGUUUUCGACAGCGUCAUGGUCUUGACUAUGAGGACACCUUCAGUCCUGUCGUCAAGCCUACCACUAUUCGGCUUCUUCUCUCCAUUGCUGUUUCUCGUGGUUGGUCACUUCGUCAACUUGAUGUGCAGAAUGCUUUUCUACAUGGAUUUUUGGAGGAAGAGGUUUAUAUGAAACAGCCGCCUGGUUUCUCUGAUCCUGAUCGUCCUGACUAUAUCUGUCGUCUUUCCAAAGCACUAUAUGGUUUGAAGCAAGCUCCUCGUGCCUGGCAUGCCCGCCUUGCCUCUGCCCUUCGUGCUCAUGGGUUUGUGCCGUCUACUGCUGACACUUCGUUAUUUCUUCUACAGAAGCCAGAAGUCACUAUGUAUCUUUUGGUAUAUGUCGAUGAUAUUAUCCUUGUCAGCUCUUCUCAGUAUGCUGCUGAUGCUCUUGUCUGCUCUCUUGGUGCUGAUUUUGCGGUCAAAGAUCUUGGGAAGCUUCACUACUUUCUUGGAGUUGAGGUCACUUCUCGUACUACUGGUCUUGUCCUUACGCAGAAGAAGUACUCCUUGGAGUUGUUACAGAGAGCUGGCAUGCUGAAGUGCAAACCGACCACCACACCCAUGUCGUCUACCGACAAGAUAACAGCUGUUGAUGGUGAGCUUUUGUCUCCUGCGGAUGCCACAGAGUACAGGAGCAUUGUUGGUGGACUUCAGUACUUGACGAUCACGAGACCAGAUAUCUCUUAUGCUGUUAACAGGGUUUGUCAGUAUCUUCAGGCUCCCAGAAAUACUCAUUGGGCUGCUGUUAAACGCAUUCUUCGUUAUGUUCAGUUCACCCUGACAUUUGGUAUGCAUAUUCGGCCGACUUCCUCUCGGGUCCUUUCGGCCUUCUCUGAUGCAGAUUGGGCUGGUAGCCCAGAUGACAGGCGAUCCACGGGGGGUUAUGCAGUAUUCUUUGGCUCUAAUUUGAUCGCCUGGAGUGCUCGGAAACAGGCUACUAUGUCACGUAGCAGUACUGAAGCUGAGUACAAGGCUGUGGCUAAUGCUACUGCAGAGAUUAUUUGGGUGCAGUCUUUGCUUCAGGAGUUGGGUUUGUCUCAACCACAGCCUCCUAUUCUUUGGUGUGAUAACAUCGGUGCUACAUACCUUUCUGCAAAUCCAGUAUUUCAUGCCCGAAUGAAACACAUUGAAGUUGACUAUCACUUUGUACGGGAACGUGUAUCACAGAAGCAACUCCAGAUCAAGUUUAUCUCAUCUAAGGAUCAACUUGCAGACAUCUUCACUAAGCCUUUACCGCUGCCACAGUUUGAGGUUUGUAGGCGCAAUCUUACCCUUCUCAGUUCUUUAGAAAGUGGCUAA